UACGGAGGGUGCAAACGUUGUCCGGAUUUACUGGGCGUAAAGCGCAUGUAGGUGGUUUGAUACGUAGACGAUUAAAGACCGACGCUUAACGUCGGGAGUGUUGUCUAAACGGUUUGACUAGAGGAUAGCAGGGGUACGUGGAACUUUGAGUGUAGGAGUGAAAUCCGUAGAUAUUCAAAGGAACACCAAUGGCGAAGGCAGCGUACUGGGCUAUUUCUGACACUGAGAUGCGAAAGCGUGGGUAGCAAACGGG
rnacentral:rRNA from 1 species